GUUUGACCUCGGAUCACGUAGGGAUACCCGCUGAACUUAAGCAUAUCAAUAAGCGGAGGAAAAGAAACCAACAGGGAUUGCCCUAUUAACGGCGAGUGAAGCGGCAACAGCUCAAAUUUGAAAUCUGGCUCUUUCAGAGUCCGAGUUGUAAUUUGCAGAGGGCGCUUUGUCUUUGGCAGCGGUCCAAGUUCCUUGGAGCAAGACGUCACACACGGUGAGAAUCCCGCACAUGGUCGCUAGCUAAUGCCUUGUGGGGGACCCCUCAAUCAAAUCAAGUUGAUUUGGUUAAGGAAUGCUCUCUUGUGGGGAGGGGAGAGCUACUUUCUAACGCUGAGCCUAUUUGUUAGAGGACACAAAAAGGGCGGAGCGGCGCAUAAAAAAAGAGAUAUUAAGAAAAGAGAAAUUUUGUUUUUUGAGAAAUAGAAAGCGACACAGACGUCAUGUGUGUGAUUUGUGUUAAAAAGGAGCAGCGUUGCCAAGACAAAAAAAUUAGUGUUGUGUUGGAAAUGUUGACCCCAGCAGGGGUCUUUUUUCGGCUGGGGAGGACCAACCCCGUGACUGCAAAGGGAGGCGACCAAAACAAAUAUAUUUUGGGAUGCAAGGGAGUGGAAAUGGAACGGGUUGCAUGAAGAAAAAGCUGUAUCCCCUUACUCAUGGGAGGGAGGAAAGAAAUCUUUUUGAUGGGGGGGGAGGAAGGCAUUUGAAUAAGCAAAAAAAACGAAGCCCGGGGGGAAGGUUGCGGAGGGGUUCCGGCAGAGCGGAUACCGUAGUCCCUAAAAUUGAAUUUGUUUUUGGGAAAUUUAAAUUGGGGGCACCCGAACCCCCGCCCGGGUGUUGUAAACUGCCCUUUUUAAAAAAAAAAAAAAAAAGAGAGAAAGGAGGGAAAGGAGACCAACCACCCCCGCUUUUGGGGAAAAAGGGAAAGAUAAGACAAACCACAAAGGGCCCCUCUGGGGGUUAUGAAAAAAGGAGCCCCCCACUCGGUCAAA
rnacentral:rRNA from 1 species